rnacentral:lncRNA from 1 species
AUGAACUUACUGGUGUUUGGACCUUGCAAUGCAGAACAACAAGAAUGUCUUCUGCAUUGCCAGGAACAGAGAGCUCUAUGUGACAGUUCCAUCUGCCCGACAGAGACCAGUUUUCUCCAACAACUGGCAUCCUUACCACAAGCACAAUCUACGAAGUCCCUCUACCUUCCAAGUGACACAGGAAUGUUUAGAAGAUCAGUAUCACCAGUGAGAACUGAAGAAUUCCAAAAUCUAUCACAGAAGACACAAAAAUGCAUAUGUAAGUUGUCUAUGUCUCAAUUUGAAUAUCUCUUGUUCCUUUGCAAUCUCAAGAAUAUUUCUCUAACUUUUAUUUAUCUUAACUUAUGCAAUGGCCUGAAAUCCAAAAAAAAAGAUUUGUAGGGUGAUUCUAUUGCCAACACCCCUAGCUUGGAGACCAAAAGGCCAAUUUUAAGGUGGUUACCUGUCCCUGACAUAUGUGAUCUUGUUGUGAGGACCAAAUGAGUUAACAUAAAUAAAGUGCUUUUCAACCCUUAAACUGAUAUUUAA